GUUCUUUCAAACUACCUCCUCAUUUAAAAUCUUAAAUCUGUCAUCAUCCAGAUUUAAAGUUCUCUGCUGAGUUUUUGUAGAGUUCCGUUGAAAUACAGCUGCUUCUGUAUUUCUCAUUUGUACCAAAUCAAGGUAUCAGUUAUUAGCAGUCCAGGACUUAAUGUCUAUAGGCUGUUAAUUAUUGUGCCGUAAUGAACUGGAGCUUCUGAAUUUCAGGGUAGAGAUGUCUUAGAGCAGGAAUGGGGAACCUCUGGCCUUCUGGAUGUUGUUGGCCUACAACUCCCAUAAUUCCUUGUCAUUUAUCUACUGGUUGGAGAAGCAGAGGUUCCUCAUCCCUGCCCUAGCGCAAGUUUGACUUACGGUAACCUGUAGGUCUGUUGAUGUUGUAAGACUACAACUCCCAUCAUCCCUCACCACUGGCCAUACUGACUGAGACUGGACAGCCAUGUGUUUACCACCCCAUCCCUGAGGGAAAAGGAAACUCUCUGCCCUUCUGAUUGUGCUUAACAGUCCUGACCUGGAACCAUUGCCAGAACCUGUAUGUUAUGCCCACUUUACAGCUGUGCCAUUUGCUUCCUCCUGGAGAACAAGAAGUUUUCCCCCUCCUGUUCUGUGAAGGGGAGAACCAGGGAUUCUGUAAUUCAAGCUCACACUGCUUCUCUUAUGCCCCAGGAAGAUAGAUAGCCCAAGGAAUUUGUUCCUGAAUUACACAGCCAGGUUCCUGCUGAGAAGUUAUUGACAACCAAGGCAUCACUAUGGGGAUUAGCUGGUACUGGAAAAUGCUUUGAAAUGGAAUUGAUGUGAUGAAAAAUGCAACUUCCCUUGCUGCUAGUGUUGGGUUGGAGGUUUGGUUUUGUUUUUCGUCAGUUUUUUGGGCAGUAAAAUUCUAUGCCAUGGAAGAAACAGGUGUUGGAUCAAACUCUCACUUCAGAAAGCCUGCAAAAGAUAAAAGCAAGCCUGUGCUAAAUUGCAUGGGGCUAAUUAGUAAGAUCACUGUAAGAAAAUUGAAAUGCAUCUUCUUUCCUCAGCUUUGUACACAUACACAGGGGAGAGAACUUAGCUCCGUGGUAGAAAACAUGCUCUGUAGGCAGGAGGUUCCAGGUUCAUUUGAAGAAGGAGCUCUAUUUAGUUAAAUGAUCUUAUGUAGCAGAGCUGCAGAAGGUGAUCUCUGUUUUAGACCUUGGUGGGUUGACUUCACAGCUGAGCAGCUUCCCCAACCUGUUGCUACCCUGCUCUUUUGAACCACAGCUCUCACCAGCCCCCCUCCCCAAUUGUAGGAGGGCACCAGACUGGUGAACAGACACUAGUGACUUUUGACAUAGAUUCCAUUGAGCACAUGGAUUGAUAAUAUGGACAGAUUAGCUACAUACGAGCGAAUUGCAUGUUGAUGCAAAAUAAGAAUGGAUAAAUAUGAAGAAAUCUGGAAUGAAUAUUUAAGUGAUAAGGUGGAUAGUGAUGGGAAGUAGAAGGGGGAGAGAGAGGUGGGAAAAUAUUGUUAAAAAAGGUGUAGGCAUAGGUAUAUCAGUGUAUCCAAAUCUGAACUGUCAAAUUGUGUUAUUACUAUUAUUAUGGUUUUUGUUGUAUGUGUCUUUUGCGGUUGAUGUUUGUAUCGAAAAAUUGAUUAAAUAAUAUUUUUUUAAAUCGUGACUUUUGACAUUAACCCAGAGGCAGAAGAUGCCUUGCCUACCAGCCCUCUGUCCAAGCACAGCCUCCCUGUAACCCAUUCCAGAAGCUGCUUCAUCCUUUUGGCUGAGCAGAGCAAUGAUAUCAGGUAUGGCCUGGAGUUGAAGAAGAUGGCGGGAUUUUCUCUUCCCAUUCCCUCCUUCCCCACAACACUGAUAAACCUGAAGCUGUGGAAAUGCAGCAUGCAAGUUACCCAUGUGAGAUGAUCAAAAGGCAGCAAGAGCUGAGCCAGGUCAGCCAAGGUUGUGGAAAUCAGUCCAGUAGAGGGAUGACCUUAUUGGGGAAAGCAGCCCAGAACCAUCUCAUUACAUUGCAAUAAUGAGAUAGCAGCAGUUUGCAUGGGACAUCAAACCAGAGAACUGCCAGAUUAAACCUCUUUCUGGAAACUAAUCACAACUGCUAGUGAAGCUGAGAAUAUAGUUUCACUUGGACAUGGGGCCCCAUGAACAGUUCUUUAAAAAGCCCUUUUCACAUGUUAUAUGAAUGCAUGGUGGGAUGGCAGUGGUGGUGAUGAACAGGCUUGUCUUUCAUACAUAAAGAGAGAGUAGUGCUGUUUCAUACAAAAAGCCUUCCAACUCUAAAACAAAUCACACAGGCUCUCAGUGGCGGCUGACCCAUUAGGGAUCAUAUGGCAUUGCCCCACCAGCCAGUUUUGCCUUUAGCCAGCCUUCCACCAGCCUUCAUUCUCACACACAGCCCAGAGGGCAGCACCACCCAUCUGCUUCCUCCUCCUCAAUCUCAGCACUGCCAUUGUUGAACACCGCAGAGAGAAGCAUGGGGACAAUGGUAAAAUAAAUUGGCUCUGCUUGUCACUGGGGAUGGAGUGGACUGAGCAUAAAGGAAAGCAGGAUGGAAGUGAGUGGCAGAGAUAUUGUGGUAUGUGAAGGACCCGUAGUGCAGUGGUAGAGCAUCUGUCUUCCACUCAGAAGGUCCGAGGUUCAAUUCUUGGUGUCUCCAAGUAGGGCUGCGAAUGUCACUUGCCCCAAACCCUGGAGUGUAACUGCCUGUAGAGCAGACAAUACUGAGCUAGAUGAACCAAUACUGGUUUUCCUUCAGGGGAUACUUAAAGCACAGCAUUUAAUAUAUGGAUGUAUAUGUAACUCACUGUGAGCCCUUGUGUUAGGCAGCCUAUAAAUCUAUGCUCCCUUUGGUUUUAUAUAUAAUAUACCUCUAUAUUCUAUGUCACAUUUAAUGGGCUUUAAUUUUGCCCUUCAUCUUGGUAUCAAGUUUAUUACGUGUGUUAACCUGAUUGUUCUUUACCACUUGCCAUAACUUGAUUUCUACACCUGCUUGCAAAAGAAAGAAAAAUGCAUUUGAUUAGAGCGUGGACAGGGGUCCUCCUGAUUCAAAUGUACAGAUUGCCCCUUUAUGUGGCUCGAAUUUAAUGUUAUUCAAAUUGGAGGUGAAGCUUUUACUUAAUAAGCAAGCAGGGGAGAGAUCGCCUCCCCUCCCAUGGCGCCAGCAAACAAUAUGUUUGUUCCCACACCCUGCCUCUCCAUCAGCAUUAACUUCUUUGCCAUCUUCCAUUCGGCACUUUGCUGAAGCAAAUGAAAGCGCUGGCUGGCAGCACAGAUCAUUCCCAUUCAUCACUGCCUGCUAAGAUGAUGCUGUUGUCUCUGGCAACAAUACAGGGGCACAAACCCAAUUAGGAAGCUCAUAGACUCGCAAAUGCAAACGCAUUGUGUGCCUCCUGGUCUAUUCAGCUCUAAAGAGCAACCCUGAUACUUUCCCUUUGGCUUUUUCCUGACUAAUGCUAAUCCUGCCUCCACUUAUAUUAUUACUUAGGAUUUCUACUGCUUUUUUCCCAAGGCCACCAUAUCAUAAUGCGUUAUCUCAUUAGACCCCGCAACAGCCCUGUAAGAGAUGGCACAGAGUUGCAUCUCCAUUUUACAGGAGUCCCCAUUUGUUUACUGACUGCAGUGGGAGCAGCAGUGUUGCACCAGCUGGUCACAUCCCUGAGGGCCAUAGCUCUGGGUCACAGAACAUGCAGAAGGUCCCAGGAUCAUUUUUUGGCAUCUCCAAGGAAGGCUGGGAAAGGCUGCUGCUUAAAACCUUGGAGAGCUGCUGUCUGUCAGUGUAGACUAGGGAUGGGGCACCCCAGGCCUGGUAGCUGAACGCAGCCCUCCAGACCUCUUUAUUUGGCCCUUGUGGGACUCCCAGGCCACACCCUUCACCCUCCUCGAGGGUUUUUGCCUGGUUGGGAUAUGACCUUGAGCUCGCAUGAUGCCUCUUGCUUGUUUCAUUGGAGGAAAGAGAGGAAUGUGCGAGUGUGUAUAGAAAGCAGCUAUUACAUCUUCCUCCUCCCUCCACCUCUGGCUUUUAGGCCCUGGAAAAAUGCUCCGGACAGAACACAGCCUUGUACCAGGGAUGGGGGAGAAAUUCAAACCAGUUGGUGUUUAAAGGUGAAUCGAUCAUUUGCCCCUUCCGAAACAAUAUGAGAACAAAUAUGCAGCCGCCCUUUGAAAUUCAGAGCUGUCAGGAUUUUGUUAUGGUUCUCCAGUGUUUAUAAAAAUGCAUAUAUUAGGUAAUUUUAAAAAAGUGUAUACAAAUGAACGCAUGAGUGAAAACAACAUACAAACAUGUAUUAUAUUAGGAGGCAUCGCUUGCAAAAAAAAAAACAUAUGCACACACAGAAAAGGUAUUUAUUAGGAAAAAUGCACACUAAAAUGGUGAAGAAGCUUCAUGAGGAUUUUUAUUAAAUAAUAAUAAUUGCAAACUGCUGUAACAAGAACUAGAUUUC
rnacentral:lncRNA from 1 species